CGGCCUUGUAGCCAUUCAACUCGGGGAAUCCCAACGGCGCCGACAGCGGGACGCCCUAUGGGAAGAGCUGUUCCCUCCUUGCCCCGCCUCCUGCCGUGACGCAGCUUAGUCCAGCCCCGCCCCGGCCGUCGUUGCGGUAGAGAAGCUCCGCGGUGCAGCCACGUGUCGGGUCUGCUGCGAGUGUCUCCCAGUCCGGGUGACUCUGCUGCGGGCGCAGCUCCUGCGGGGCCGGCGUCAGCCGCUGCUGGGGGGGGGCGAACUUCUGCCCCCGCCCCCCCGUGCAGAGGGACCGCUCCGCACGGAAGCCAGCGGCCGCACAGGCAGCGGGGGGCGCCUGGGGGAGGGGGUCCGAGCCUUGCAGGAGCCCGAGGGGGAUCGGGGGGGGGGGGAAAACCCAGGAACCCCCUGCAGUGCUUCUGCGAUGGGGCUCAGCCCCCCCUGCGCCCCCGCGUGGUGUGUCACAGGUCCCGGGCGCACCGCACUCCCGCGUUGGUUCCCAUCGAGCCAGCUGCCCGGGAUUACAAGAAACCAAUCCAGAUGCAAGUGCAGGCUUGGAAGGAAAAGAUAGACCAAGGAGAGGAGAAAACAACUAUCUGUAGGAGAACACAGGUGCUGAGAGACAGAAAAAUACACUGGAAAUUAUGCAACUGCUUCAGUUUAUGAAGGAAGACAUGGAACUGGUGAUCGAUGUAGCAGAGCAAAACUUCUUGGUGGGAAGUGUGGAGAAUAUGCACAAUGAAUAUGUCACCAAACCCUCCGCGGAGAUUUCCCGUCUCAGCGAGCUGAUUGACGAGAUGGAGGGGAAGUGCCGGCAGCCAGCGAGUGAAUUCCUGUAGGACAUCAGAAGCACCUUGACCAGGUACGUGCUUCCUUCUCACUCUCUCUCUCUGAGCCUUCAUGAUGCUGAGAAAGGGUUUGUACACACAUAUUCCCAGAGCAUGGCACGGCGUGGGGCAGGGUUGCACUCCAGACAUAAGUGCCAACCGGCAGCCAAGUGUUUUUUUGUUUUUUUUUCCUUCCACCUGCUGCCUUUACCUUAAUCCCACAGGCUUUGAUAGUUAUUUCCUCAUUGAUCUGAACCGCAGGAGACUGGAGUCUGAUAGGACUUCUCUCUCCUCCAGCCUCAGCUUCCCCAUCUCCUGCCUGCUCAUCCUUGGGGUUCGCCCCAUGGCCACUAGCUCACAAACCUGCAGCCACUUGGCUCUCUGCACGUCCUGUUGAAAGAAUUGCAGAGGAGAAACCUGAGGGCACCACCAUGGAAAAGCAGAGCAGGAGGAGACAAGGGCAGUGCAAGGACAUAUCUCCUCUGGUUGGCUUUAUGUGGUUAUUUCACACAUUGGCUUAGUGCGAGAGAUCAUGUCCCCCUAGUGGCCAGCCCCAGUCAUGAACAACCAGCUCAUGGCUCACAGCUCAAAGGAGUUACUGCUUUAAGGCAAGGGGUCGGGGCUUGUGAUUUCAGGGCUGAAGCUCACACUUUAGAUGCACAAGUCAAGCCAUGAAGCCAGUUUUUUGGUAGAGAGGGGCCCGGGCCUAGCCAAUCAGCCUGCCCCGGGGAAGGAACACAACCCCUGGGGAAGGGAGGGUAGCUCCAGGAUGGGCCAGCUGGGAUGCUUGGGGGGAGCACUAGGAUGCAGGGAGUGCAGGAGAUUUGUAGGGAAUGUCUGCAGCUGGGGAAUGAGGGCUGGGUGUUGUAGGGCACCCCCGUCUGGAGCGCUCAGCUGUGCCAGGUUGUGGAAGGGCAAGUACUUCCUCUCUCAGGUAACCCAGUAACUUCACUUCAGGCUCUCUUGGCACAAUUAUACCAUCCAUGGGGCUGGCUUGUUAUACAACCCCCUUGACAAAAUAGUCCAUAACAAAAGACCCAAACACAGUCUGUUUCUCACUGCCGCGUCCCUCGAUGCCCCACAUGCUACACACGGAUGCCUUCAACCAUGUGUGGCAUCUCUGUUGAUUGUCUUCUGUUACCCCUGCUCUUCCCAAUGAGACCCCAUCCAUGACAGCCCUGCUGGGAGCGUCCUCACCCCGUGAGUGCCCCUCAUUCUCUCUGGCCCUCCCACGGCUCCCUCUGCUGCUGCUUCUGCCUUUAGCCCUCUGGUCCUGGCUCUCUGGCUUGGGGACCCCCAGCCAGCAAACCCUUCUUCCUGCUCUCCUGCCUUUGGUCUUCUCCAAGGUCCCAGUCACACCGUCUCUGGCAGCUCUCACCUCUGGUCCUUCUCCUGCUGCCUCUAUUUCACUGGGUCUCCUCCUCACCAGUCAGUCUCCCAGCAGGUUCUCACUGUCCCUGGCACUCACUCCCAGGGGAUUUCCUGCUUUCACAGCCCCUUGUCUGCUCCCUCUGCCCCUUUCCCGACUCACUCUCAGGGCUGAUGGACCCAGCCUUCCCCUCACUGGAACUCCCUCCUCUAGGGCCCAGCUGCCCUCUUUUAAGCCCCAUGCUGCAGUGUCCGGAUAAGGCACAGGCCAAGCUCCUCAUUAAAGGACCAGUGUCCCCCUAUGACACUGGGUCACUGGCCACCAGUGGCUGAAGAAGUCCAGCUUCUCUGUUCAGCUGGGAAUUGCUUUUAAAAAAAACCUUGUAAAAGCAAUAUUAUUCUUCAAGCAUCAUCAUCAUUAUGAUCAUGUUCCCAUUAUGCCUCUGGCAUUUAGGGCAGCGAUGAAGCUCCUUCACUCCCGUCUAUUUCUGUCAAGUCUGGUUCAAUGCACGGAGGAUAGGAGCUCCAUCAUUGCCAGGAGGCGUUGGAGAUGAAUUGGCCAUGUGCUUCAGAUGGAAGCUGAUUC